rnacentral:rRNA from 1 species
UACGUAGGGGGCGAGCGUUGUCCGGAAUUAUUGGGCGUAAAGCGCGUGUAGGCGGCUUGGUAAGUCCGCUGUGAAAACUCGGGGCUCAACCUCGAGCUGUCGGUGGAAACUGUGUGGCUAGAGUCCGGAAGAGGAGAGUGGAAUUCCCGGUGUAGCGGUGAAAUGCGCAGAUAUCGGGAAGAACACCCGUGGCGAAGGCGGCUCUCUGGGACGGUACUGACGCUGAGACGCGAAAGCGUGGGGAGCGAACAGG